rnacentral:rRNA from 1 species
AGUGAACGCUGGCGGUAGGCCUAACACAUGCAAGUCGAACGGCAGCACAGUAAGAGCUUGCUCUUACGGGUGGCGAGUGGCGGACGGGUGAGGAAUACAUCGGAAUCUACUUUUUCGUGGGGGAUAACGUAGGGAAACUUACGCUAAUACCGCAUACGACCUACGGGUGAAAGCAGGGGAUCUUCGGACCUUUCGCGAUUGAUUGAGCCGAUGUCGGAUUAGCUAGUUGGCGGGGUAAAGGCCCACCAAGGCGACGAUCCGUAGCUGGUCUGAGAGGAUGAUCAGCCACACUGGAACUGAGACACGGUCCAGACUCCUACGGGAGGCAGCAGUGGGGAAUAUUGGACAAUGGGCGCAAGCCUGAUCCAGCCAUGCCGCGUGGGUGAAGAAGGCCUUCGGGUUGUAAAGCCCUUUUGUUGGGAAAGAAAAGCAGCAGGAUAAUACCCCGCUGUUCUGACGGUACCCAAAGAAUAAGCACCGGCUAACUUCGUG